rnacentral:lncRNA from 12 species
GUCCUUGCUAAGACACCACUCAAAACACUGUGAUGUUUUCCCAUCUCCAUUUAACAUAACAGAGGUCAAAUACUGGAAAGUGGUAUUUUUUCCAGAUUCUAUGUGGAAACUGAAAUGAUGCAUCUAAUCCUGCAUAUUCAGGAUGAAAAGUUCUGAUUCUCACUUGAAGGUAGAAGCUGUCUUGAGUCUGAAC